UCUGGCUGCAAAUGUGUCAACCCAUUGAUCGCCAGGGUUGAUUCGGCUGAUCUGGCUGGCUAGGCGGAUGUCCCCUUCCUCCCUCACCACUCCAUGUGCGCCCCUCCUGAAGCUGCGCGCUCUGUCGAAGAGGACGACCAUCCCCGAUAGAGGAGGACUGGUCUUCGGUCAAGGGUAUACGAGUAGCUGCGCUCCCCUGCUAGAACCUCCAAACAAGCUCACCUGCUAG